GGAUUUGGAGCGGCCGGGGAGGCGGGGGUGGCCGGGGCCGGCUUGGAGGCCUGGCGCCACCCUUCGGGGCCUGCAAGGACCCAGUUGGGGGGGCAGGAGGGGGCCGGAGGAUGGUUGGUUGUGGGAUUUCUACUUUGCCUUUUCCUCCUUAUGCCGCCUUAGUGAGGGGCGGGAGCUCUGGCGGCAGCCCCGGGGUGGGGAGACGAGCUCCGGAGUCGGAAGAGCUGGGUUUUCUUCCGGGCCUAGCCACCAGUUGGCGGAGUGACCUUAGGCGAGUCACUCUGUAAUUUGUCUGCGCCUCAGUUUCCUCCUCUGCCUAUCAAUGUGUGUGGGGUUGAAAUCGCUUUGUAAACUAUAAAGCGUGGGUGUACGUAAAGGAUGGUUAUUGUUUAUAAUUUUUUUUGAGUUGUAAGAAAACUUAGCAGUUCCCCAAUCCUUGGGUUUUGAACCUGGGAACCUUGGAUUGGAGUUGGGGAUCCCCAAACUUCCUGAAAUUGUGGGAAUGUGCGGUUUGGGGGAAUGAUGGGAAUUUGUGGGAAUGUGCGUUUUAGGGGAAUGAUGAUCCAUCGCUAGCAAGUUUUCCAAGGGGGCUGUGACCCAGAAGAGUUAAGAAUCACAAUUUCUUCAUGCUACAGAGAGGAAACUGAGGCCUAGAUGUCAUUUGGGACCCUUCACAACCAUUUUGAAGCCCUGUUUGAGUCCCUGGGAUAUGUGAGCUGUUUCUAUGCAUAAUGGAUAUUCGGGGUUAACAACAGUCCCCUGCUUGGCUUCUAUUCUGAAUCCUUUUCUUUCACCAUGGGGUGCCUGAAGGGUGGCUGAUGCAUAUGGUACAAUGGCACCCAGUGUAAAGCAGCUACAAUUAGGAGUGGAUGUGUUCUGUAGCAUCCUAUUUAAAUAAGCCUAUUUUAUCCUUUGGCCCGUCAACUCUGUUAUCUGCUGCUUGUACUGGUGCCUGUACUUUUCUGACUCUCAUUGACCAUAUUCCACGACCAUGGUUGUCAUCCAUUACUUGAUCCUACUUUACAUGUCUAGGCUGUGUGGUUGGUGGUGAAUAGGCUUCUUUUUACAUGGUGCUGCCAGCCCAGCUAAUUAAUGGUGCACGUGGACUUUUAGCAAGCGGGCUCACUGGAAGAGACUGAACCUGGCAUGGAAUUCCUGAAGAUGUUUGGGGUUUUUUUCUUUCUUAAUCGAAAGUUAACAUUGUCUGAAAAGUUUUGUUAGAACUACUGCGGAACCUCAAAAUCAGUAGAUUUGGAAGUGAUUCAAAGCUAAACUUUUUCCUUGGCCCUCCUUGUGUUCUAAUUGCUUGCAAGUGUAAUACUAGGAUGUCCAAGAUGCCAGUUUUUGCUUCUUUGUUAGUUGUCAGCUGCUUUUAUCAAAUUUCAGGCCAUUAUCCAACAAACACUAUAAAAAUGUUUGAACAAUUGGAUUUCAAACAUUUUCGUUUUGUGGAGUGGUGCUCACCAAGUGGUACAGCCCUAAGCAAGUGAACACAAACACAUUUAAGUGUAUUUUGUCUGAUUAGAUGUUAGCCAGUUAUGCUAUUUCAUUCAAAUGUCUGAAAAAAUCAAUUGACUAUUCCCUUUUCCUAAAGGGCAGAGACAGAUAAUCUCACUUCCAGAGAAAUGACUUGGAGAAAAAAAAGUGUUGGUCUUUUUGCUCUUUUGUAAUUAAAUCCGGAUGUACCUCAAAAGACUUAAGACUGUGGUGAUAAGAUGCUUUCCUCAGCAGAAAGGAGGGAAAAAAAACAACUGGAACUCAAAGCUUGAAAUUCUGUGGCAAAACAUGAGAUGUCCAGGAUUGGAGGUUGAAAAGAUUUCACUACAGUGUUCUGCAAUAGUUGGAGCAGAUAACUUUCAGUGUAGCCACAGCCAUGGACUCCAGAUUUCCAGAUUUUCAAGACCUGGACCUGGAACCCGAAAGAGCUUGUCACGAUGCGGCAGGAACACUGGAGGUAGAUUUUUUUUUAUUUUUGAAUUUUGGGACUGUUGACCUUGCUGUGAGAAAAGAGACAACGACUGAGCAAGCACUACCACCAGCACUGUUACUGGGAAUUAGAAGACCUGAGUUUCUGUCCAGACCCUCAGUGCAAACUGAGGAUGCUCCAUCCAAAGUGAAUUAUGCCUACAGACCUGGUACCUGGAUUUUUGCCCGAGAUGAUUCCUACCACCUUACUACUGACGAAGACACCCAUUCCAGUGGACCACUGUGACCCAGGAGGCAUUCAGCCAUCAUGAUGUGGCCUUUACCUCCACUCCUGUCUUGUUCUACCCAGAUUCAGCACAGCCCUUUAUAGUGAAGUCAGAGUCCUCAAGCCAAAUAGCUAAAGCUGUUUUAUCACAACAAAGGCCUAGUUUGUUCCAUGAGUGUGCAUUUCAUUUCUUCAGUUAAAGCCUUCAGAGACACACAAUAAAUUUGGACCAGGGGAUUUUUUAGUUAUUAAUGCUCUCUGAAGAAAGGCAACAUCUUUUUGAGAGCAGCAUUGGACCACACCCCACAAUCUCAAAUGAUUGAAAUUCAUGAACAUCUAGGAUCCCGUGAAGGUCACUGGACCCUGUUUUUUCUACUUCAAAUCCUGUAGUAGCCUACUGAAUGAGAAAACAUAUUCUGACCCAUUGGGAUCAAAUCAAAGGCACAGUGAACUCCUCAUAGCAUCUUCUUUGGAAUUACUCAGGAACCAGAACUUUUUACACAAAUGUAAGAAAUUCUACCAAGGAGUCCCCUUACCUAACAGCAUCUCACAAGGCUGCACCAGAUUCCAGAAAAGGCUUCUCUUGAUACAUCAAGGUAGAACCUCUAUGCAUUUUGUGACCGACUUAUUCUUAGAUCAUUGGUUUUCCAAAGGCUUUGUGGCCAUGAAGCCCUUUGAGUGAAAACUGUGCAGAAGCCCAGAGUAAAAGUGAAGCUGCUCUGGAUGAAGUAGUGAAGCAAGAGUAGGGGCCUGAAUCCUGCUACAACUAUCUUCCUUUACCACCGUGGUGACACCUAAGGGGACUUCCUUACAACACCUUGAACUCUUCCGAACACAGUUUGAAAACCACUGCCCCAGACAGCAAUAUGUUUGACCUGAAUGGCAUUCCAAUCUUUUCUGUACCUCCACUCAGCACAGUUCAUGUUCAGUAGAUGCUGAACAUUCUUAGAAAUACUGUGUGUGAACUUAGAAAAGUGCAAGAAGACAGGCAUGUCUUUGACCCCAGGAAUGAUCAUUUGCUGAAGAUGGUGUCAAGUGAACCUAGAUUAACAGCCCUCCACUCCAGAUGGAUAUCCAGUGAUUCCUAGAAUGGGAUAUAGCCAGAGAACAAUUCUAUGCACCCUACACUGACAGACUCCCUUAAGCAACACCAGAUGCUCUACUGGUACUUGAAGUACAUGACUUUGAAGUCUUGACCCUCCAUGAAUACCUGAAUUAUCAGCAAGCGGGUUUUGAAGCUGGUGCCUCAUUGAGGCCAUAUUAGAGCAACUUGUACAUUUGACCUCUUGUUAUCAGCCAUGGUACUCUACUUCGUGUGCAAGAGAUAACUAUGAAAGCCAAAUUCAAAUACUGGCAACAUUUCCUAAAGGGGCUCAAUAUCUAUCAUUCGUCUUCUUUUCCAAACUACACAUCACUGUAUGACUCAACCAGUAGCAGUUAUAUUGCCCCUUGGUUUUUAUUCAGUUUAACUACUGUUUCCAAGAUAAAUGAGCUAAUAAGCUUUAAAAAAAAAAAAAAAAAAGGCUGAAUUCUUUUUUCUUCAUCACUGGCAUAUCUGCCUAUUCUCCAGAAUUAUUAUGACUAUUCAGCUCACUUUAACAGUUGAACUUCAAGCGACAAUCUUUGAACACCCCUUCUCAUGUGAUUUAAAAUGAAACCAUUUGGAAAAGUUUCUUCUAGCCAGUAAUAGAUUUUUUUUUUAAUUGCUCUGCCUUGUGCCGAGAGAUGUUCUUUUAAGAUGAAUCUUUUGAUGUCUGAUACCACCAAAUAUAGGUGGUAGGGAGAGUUGGAGGCUGGCCCUUUGAGCAGGCCAUUAGCUUACUUGCUGGGCAUUUCCGAUAGCUUAUUGCCUACCUUUUUGCUGGAAACAAACUGAUUUGAAAAACAAAAUCUAUGAAGACUGCAGCUAAGGAUUUUAUCGGUAGACUUAAGAGCUUUUGUCCUUGUGGAUAUUUUAGUGGAACCACAUCAGUCUCAAUACUGUCAUUUUACACUGACUCAGAGCAGCUGACUUCAUUCCUUGCCAUGAUAUAUAUUUAAGGCAGGCAUUGUAACAGACAUAAAGACAACUUAUCUGUUUCAGCAGGAAGGAUUCAGUUUAUGAACUCUCAGACCAGAUCAUGUUGAACAAGGAGACUUUGAUGUGUGUCAUGAGAAAACUCAUUCUUUACUUCCCAGUCAAUUUAAAGGCCAGCUAUCCUGAGCUACUCGAAUGAAUGCACUGGUUAAACAUUGGAAAUAGUUUGUUUAUAUCCUUGUCUCUCUCUAGGCCAAUUGUGAUUACAUGACUCGACUCUACAUCUCGUCAAACAAGGCCUAGGUCUGGUUGCUGUAGACUGCUCGCCCUCAACAAAUAAAAUCUGGUUGACUAGCCUCCUUGUAUAUACAACUAUUAUUUGUUAAGAAGAAAUUAUCGUCAAUUUUCUACUACCUUCCAAUUGUCAGCUCUUUUUUUCCUCUCUGGUUUUUCCUAUACUUUACAGAAAAAGACAUUGAUCUAUACUGCCAUUCCCUCUAAUCCUGCCAUACUCAGUCAAAAGGAAUGACUUAAGAUGAAGAUGAUCAUCUGCUCGAGUCUAAAAUAUACAUUGUAUAUAAGAAUUGGUGAUUAGAAAAGCAAAAAACCUAAAACUUAAAUCUAGGAGUCUGUAUACUGUCUCCAUGUCUCCAUGCCUCAGAUCUCAUCUAAAUCUUUGAACAGCACCAUUCAACCAAUCUGAGGCCUUGACUUGCUUGUAAGAUGAUUCUCAGAGAUCGGCUGAGUUAAAAAAGAUGACGACUUGAUUACCAAAGAAAGUAGGGCCAACUUUGACAAAUCUGGCUCUGCUGACCCUGUCACUCCCAGAUGUAGCAUAGACUCCUAAACAGAACCUCAAGUCUGAUUGAGGAUAAGGCCUUCUCCUGAGCUGAAAGUUCUUUGGCAGAUGAGCAAGAAACUGAAAGCUGAUGUACCUGACUGGCUCUGUAAGAUCAGAAAACUGUAUCCAGAAUAAGCCCUAUGGAUUAACCCCUGAGUACCCAGAGUAAAAACUAAUUUACAGAACUUCCUUAUUGAUCUGCUGGUUCUUCCAGAUCAUAUUCUGGCUAUUGGUAUGGCUGGCCUUUCUGAAGGUACCCUGCUUGUCUAUUUUCCUGACUCAGCUCUUGCCUGCCUUUUUCACAUGUUGCUGCAAUUAGACUCACCGUGAGGACUACAGUCAAUUUCAGUCUAUCUUGUGCCCAAUACAACAAGGAUUUUUAAUAGUAACAACCCACACCUCACCCACUAGGACUCAAUGUUCACAACAGGAAGGACCAUUGCUGCAUACUCCUUGACCAGCAACUUUUUUGAAGAUAUUUUUAAGUGCAGAGUAGGCCUCUAUUCCUGUAUGUAAUUGUUCAUUUUCAGCACCUGGAACCUCAUCUAUCGGGUCUGGAAGGAAUACAGCAGUUCGAAAGCCGCGUCCAUUUCUCUCCUUCAGUAGUGCAGAAAUGAGUCCGAUUCACCAGUACACACAGAACUGUACCAGUUCAACCUAGCAAAAGAAGAAAAGUUUCCACUGUACUUAAAAUUUACAGCUGACUCAAAUUGCCUCACAGAAUUAUUUGAUGUAGAAGGCUAGUUGUCUUACUUCAGAUCAGCAGGACAGUUGGGCUCUCAGACUCAUGACCACUGAGUUUGCUUGUGUUGAAACUGUGGUUUCAUCCAACAUAUGCUAUUGGACAUGAUUAUUAUUCCAUUCAAAUGGAUUACAGACUUCUUGAGGACAGGACAAACUUAUCUCUCAUGGUGUUUUUUUAGAAUACUUUUAUAACCAAGGAAGAAACCAUGCCAGCUGUUACCAUUCAACUUCUUAAGCAGAGAUUAAGCUUUUUCAUAUCUGUUCUUAUCCUGGACAUCAGUAGUUUUUAAUUGCCCAGCAUCCGUUCCAUCUUGUAACAACUCCCUGAUGUUUCUUAAAACCACCUCUUCCUAUUUUCAGUCUGUGGUUUGGACAGUCUGACCCAACCUUGAGCUUUGUGGGUGAACAUGUAAUUCAGACCUCAUCAAUCAGCAAAUCCAUCUGAACUGUGGAGGAGAAGCUCUCUUUACUGAGGGUGCUUUAGCUUUGUAGGAUGAAAACCUCAAACUAACAGGGCCUACCAUGUAGAGAAUGAAGCCAGUGCAGGGGAAAGCAGAGCCAAAAUAUGGAGAGACUUGAAUCCUGAUGACAGCGUUUGUGCCCCUGGAUCCAACCGUGCCUGAAGCUAGAAUAUCCCCUGGACUUUUCAGUUAUGUGAACCAAUAAAUACCCUUUUUUGCUUAA
rnacentral:lncRNA from 1 species